rnacentral:lncRNA from 1 species
AACAGCAUGGAUCCUGACCAGACUGCGCGGAUGCGCAGGCUCGUCUCGAUCCAUGCUGGUCGCACACCCACUAUGUUGGUUUUCCCAUGGCACGGCUCAUUUGUAUUGAAUGUAUAACUAUUGAACUUUGUAUGCGGUCUGCUUACACGUUUAGCACUUUUCAAGGACAACUGCUAUCAUAACAGAUAAAUAUAGUUGUAUAAAAUUUGACCCUGAAUUAAUGACUGUUUAGAUAACAGUCGUAUGACACAGAUACGACACAGAUAUGACUCAAUAUUGACGUGUUUCUAAUUAUGUUAUUCGGCUUUCGUCCAACUUUAUAAAACAUUCGUAUUAUAUAUUUUCGAAAAAUAUAAUCUUACAGAAAGUUUAUUUGUCACAUGAUAAGAGGUAUCGCGGUUGCAUUUAUUGAUCCGCUGAUAGCGAAUGUACAUUCGUCUUUUCAAACUUGAAUAAUGUUAAGUAUACAUAUAAAGAAAACGUAAUGUUAAUCUUUGCUUAUUUACAUAAUAUGAAAGAAACUGAAAUUGAACGAAAUGUUUAUAAUCAAAGUAUAUUAAAGAGGAAGCUGCAUUAAUUACAUUUUAUUACCAACCGCCUGAAGUCUUAACUUACGAUUUUUUACGAGUAAACCUGAAAUAAUAUACAAACGUAAAAUGCGUUAUUUUAGUAAGGGAUUAAUGUCAACGACAAAAAGUAAUUGUUUUGUUUGGUUUGAAGUCGCACCGACAAAGCUCAAGUGCUGGCCAGGUGUACUUAUGGAUACAUGGUUUUACGCUUUGACUAUCAAUCCAGAGGUUCAAAUCCCGGUCCGGACACAAAACCAAAAUUUUGAAAUGUUCUUAAGUGUCAUACACCAAAUUUAAAACCAGUUAUUCUGUUCUACAAUACAAUUCAAUACAAUACAAAGCAAUACAAAGCAAUACAAUACAAUGCAAUGCAAUGCAAUGCAAUACAAUACAAUACAAUACAAUACAAUACAAUACAAUGCAAUACAAUACAAUGCAAAAUGAGUACGUAUUUUACUCAUGCAGCAUAUUAAAAUGCUUAACUACUAUGAAAACAAUUAUUCAGGUCCUUUUUCAAGAUUUUCUUUAGAUACAAUUUGCAGUUAUAAAACAUUCGUAUGAUACUGAUAUUGCAUUGUCAUGUUUUGAAACAUGUCAUCGUCUGCUUGAAGUACUUUGUAUCCAGUGUUUAUAUACAUUUAUAAAGAUGUAAAAAUGUUAUACUGACGUUUAAGUUAAAAUUUUGAAAUGUAACACUUUUUAAAUACAUAUAUCCCACUCAUCCGCGAUGCUCUCCCUUACACACACACACCAAUUAAUUCUCUAAGCCAUAGUACUUUGUCGACACCAAAACAAUAAGACAUUGAUAUUGGCAUAUAAUACGUUUAAACCGUAUUUGUUAAUUGCACCCGGCACGUUAGACAUUUUAUUCAAGUUAGUGACUGCUGACACAGAGAAUAGUAGCAACUUCUGGCCCAGAAAAUGUUAGCAAAUGCUGACCAUGGAAUGUUAGCAACUGCUGGCUAAAAGAGUGUUAGCAACUCUUGGCCACGGAAAUUCGGCAACUGCUGACACAGAAAUUAAGCGUCUGUCGGCCCAUGGAAUAUUAGCAACUGCGGCCCAUAGUUGGUAGCGAAUGCUGACCCAGAGAAUUUUAGCGACUGCUGACCCAGAGAAUGUUAGCGACUGCUGGCCCAGAGAAUAUUAGCGACUGCGGCCCAUAGUUGGCAACGACUGCUGACACAGUGAAUGGUAGCAAGUUCCCGCUCAGAGAAUGUUAGCGACUGCUGGCCAAGAGAAUUUUAGCGUCUGCUGGUCCAGAAACUGUUAGAAACGGUUGACCUAGAAAAAGUUUACACAUGCUGGCUAAAUGAAUGUUAGUGACAUGAAUGUUAGCGACUGUUGGUUCAGAGAAGUUUAGCAACUGCCAGCUCAGAGAAUGCUAGCGGCUGCUUGCAAAGAGUAUAUUAACGAAUGCUGAUCGAGAGAACGUAAGUGACUGUUGGCUCAAACAACUGCCCUUGGGAAAGUUAGCGACUGCUGGUCCAGAGAAUGUUAGCGACUGUUGGCCGGGAAAAUGUAAGUGACUGUUGGUCCAAACAAUGUUAGCGUCUGCUGGCCUAGAGAAUGUGAGCGAAUGCUGGUCCAAAGAAUGUUAGCAACUGCUAGUCCAGAAAAGGUUAGCGACUGCUGGUCAAGAGAAUGUCAGCAACUGCUAGUCAGAGAAUGUUAGCAACAGUUAGCCCAUGGAAUGUUAACAACUGUUGGCUUUGAGAAUGUUAGCAACUGCUGACACAGAGAUUGGUAGCGACACCUGGCGCAGAUUAUAGUAGCGACUAAUGGCCCAUAGAAUAUUAGCGACUAUGCCCAGAGAAUGGUAGCGACUGCUUGGCAAGAGAAUUUUAGCGUCUACGUGUCCAGAAACUUUUAGCGACUGCUGGUCCAAAGCAUGUUAUUAACUGCUGACCAAGUAAAUGUUAACGACCAAAUUCAUGGAGUAUUAGCGACUAUGGCCCAGAGAAUGGUAGCGGCUGCUUGGCAAGAGAAUUUUAGCGUCUGCUUGUCCAGAGAUUUUAGCGACUGUUGGUUCAAAGAAUGUAAGCGUCUGCUGGCCUAGAAAAUGUUAGCGACUGCUGGUCCAGAGAAUAUUAACGACUGCGGCCCUUAGUUGGUAACGACUGCUGACACAGUGAAUGAUUGGAAGUUCCCGCUCAGAGAAUGUUAGCAAAUGCUGGCCCAUGAAUGUAAGCGACUGCAUGCCGAGAGAAUUUUAGCGUCUGCUGGUCGAGAGAAAUGGCUGACAAGGUAUAAGUUAACGCACGCUGGCCAAAUGAAUGUUAGUGACAUGAAUGUUAGCGACUGCUGGGUCAGAGAAUUUUAGCAACUGCCAGCUCAGAGAGUGCAAGCGACUGCCUGCAAAACGCAUAUUAGCGAAUGCUGGUCCAGAGAACGUAAGUGACAGUUGGCUCAAAUAAUGUUGGCGACUACUGACCGUGGGAAAGUUAGCGACUGCUGGUCCAGAGAAUGUUAGCGACUAUUGGCCGGGAAAAUGUUAGUGACUGUUGGUCAAAAGAAUGUUAGCGUUUGCUGGCCUAGAGAAUGUUAGCGGCUGCUGGUCCAGAGAAUGAUAGCAACUGCUAGUCCAGAAAAGGUUAGCGGCUGCUGGUCAAGAGAAUGUCAGCAACUGCUUGUCAGAUAAUGUUAGCAACUGUUGGCUCGUGGAAGGUCAGCGGCUGCUGACCCACGGAAUGUUAACGACUGUUGGCUUUGAGAAUGUCAGCAACUGCUGUCACAGAGAUUGGUAGCGACAACUGGGACAGAACAUGGUAGCGACUGAUGGCCCAUAGAAUAUUAGCGACUAUGGCCCAGAGAAUGGUAGCGACUGCUCGGCAAGAGAAUUUUCAGAGAAUUUUAGGGACUGCUGGUCCAAAGAAUGUUAGUAACUGCUGACCAAGUAAACGACCAAAUUAAUGGAGUAUUAGCAACUAUGGCCCAGAGAAUGGUAGCAAGUGCUUGGCAAGAGAAUUUUAGCGUCUGCUUGUCCAGAGACUUUAGUGACUGUUGGUCCAAAAAAAUGUUAGCGUCUGCUGGCCUAGAGAAUGUAAGCGACUGCUGGUCCAGAGAAUGCUAGCAAGUGCUAGUCCAGAAAAGGUAAGCGACAGCUAGCCUAGAAAAUGUUAGCGACUGCUGGUCAAAAGAAUGUAAAUUAUUGCUGGUCAAAAAUGUUAGCAACUGUUGGCACGUGGAAAGUCAGCGUCUGCUGACCCAUGGAAUGUUAACGACUGUGGCUUAGAGAAUGUCGGCAACUGCUGACACAAAGAUUGGUAGCGACCGAUGACCCAUGGAGUAUUAGCGACAGUGGCCCAGAGAAUGGUAGCGACUGCUUGCCAAGAGAAUUUCAGCGUCUGCUUAUUCAGAGACUUUUAGCGACUGCUGGUCCAGAGAAUGUUAGUAACUGCUGACCAAAUAAAUGUUAACGACCAAAUUAAUGUUUUUGGUUCAGAAAAGUUUAGCACAGAGAAUGCUGGCGACUGCUUUCAAAGAGCAUAUUAGCGGCUGCUAAUCCAGAGAAUGUUAGAGUUACCGCCUGUUGUUCAAAAGAAUGUUAGCGACUGCUAGUCCAGAGAAUUUGAGCGACUAUUGGCCCAGAGAAUGUAAACGACUGUUGGUACAAAGAAUGUUAACGCAUGUUGGUCAAAAUAAUGUUAAUGGCUGCUAGUCCAGAGAAUGUGAGCGACUAUUGUUCCAGAGAAUGUAAGCGACUGUUGGUCCAAAGAAUGUUAAAGACUAUUGCCCCAGAGCAUGUUACAGACUUAUGGUCUAGAGAAUGUUAGUAACUACUAGUUUAAGGAAUGUUAGCGACAGCUGUCCAAGAGAAUUUUAGCGACUGCUUGUCCAGAGAAUGUUAGCGUCUUCUGGUCCAGAUAUUGUUUGCGACUGCUUAUCCAUUAAAUGUCAGCGCCUGCUGGUUCCUGGAAUGUUAUCGACUGCCGGCCGAAUGAAUGUUAGCGACUACUAGUCCAGAUAAUUUUAGAACGAACUGCCAGCUCAGAAAUGCUAGAGAAUGCUUGUAAAGAGCAUAUUAGCGACUGCUGGUCCAGAGAAUGUAAGUGACUGCUGACCAAGAGAAAUUUAGCGACUGUCGGUCCAGAGAAUCUUAGCGACAGCUGGCCUAGAGAAUGUUAGCGACUGUUGGUCCAAAGAAUGUUAACGACUGUUGGGCCUUAGAAUGUAAGUGACUGCUGACCUAGGAAAUUUUAGCGACUGCUGCUUCAGAGAUUGUUAGCAACUGCUAGUCCAGAGAACUUUAGCGGCUGCUUGCCGAGAGAAUGUUAACUACUGUUUGACCGAAGAAUGUUCGUGACUGCUGGCCUAGGAAGUUUAAGUAACUGCUGGUGAAGAGAUUGUUAGCAACUGCUAGUCCAGAGAAUUUUAGCGGCUGCUGGUCGAGAGAAUGUUAGCGACUGCUUGUCCAAAGAAUGUUAGCGACUGUUGGUCUAAAGUAUGUAAGCGAAUGCUGGCCUAGGAAAAUUAAGCGACUGCUGGUCAAAAGAAUGUUUGUAACUGCUAGUCUAGAAAAUGUUAGCGAUUGCUGGCCUACAGAAUGUUAGCGGCUGUGGGUUCAGAUACUUUUUUGGGUUCCAGCAUCUUUCCUCUAUUAUCUUUGCCAUCCAGAGAUUAAUAUUAUUUAGAAAAUUGUAUAACUGCUAAAAAUGAUCACUUUAAAUAAGUCAACAUACUGGCAACGGGAAGGUUAAACCUUUUUCUGAAAUGAAACUAAAACUUUUGAUCUUUCUUAUACAGAAACACAAUUUCUUAUGUAAAAACUUUUUUAUACUGGACCGGCCCAUGUUAUCACGAGAAUUAACAAGGCAAUUAACUUGCUGUUAAUUCACGAUUUUUAUUUUUGAAAUGCCUUGCAAGGGGCGAAUUUUUAUUCUUGCACAGAUGGACAUCUGAAAUCUUUGUCUUGAUCCUUCUAUAAUAACCUUUUUAUUUUUUAGCAUAAAAUAUAUAAAAUUAUCUACGUUAUAGUAUUGUAGUGUUUCUUUUAUUUUUAUUUUAAAUUAUUAUUAUUAUUUUUUUUAUUCUAUUUUAUUUAUUUUUUUUUUGCUUUUUCACACUAACCAUAAACGCAUUGCCAUCUUCCAUACAGAGUCCCCCAUUGUUUUUCUCUUCUUUUUUUCUUUUCUUCCUUUUUUUUUUCUUUUUUUUUUUUUGAAUUCUUCGUCAUUAAUUUUGUCGAUAUUUGUGAAUGUAUGUAAUCGCGUGUAACUUGUGCAAUUGUUUCUUAUAACAAAUCAUGCAAACGAUAUUUUGGAAGUAUCAGUCGGUAUGUUUUUAUUUAGUUACUCUAAGAAAUCAUGUAAAUUUUUAAAGCACGGAUAUAUUCAUGCGUAUCUGUACCUUUAAUGAUUAAUAUCUCGUAUAUAAGAUUAUUAUUUUUGAAAUCAUGUUCCUGUUUAUCGAAUUUGUAAGUGAUAUGCAUAUUGGCAAUAACGAGAAAUAAAAAGGAUCUUUUGAAAACAUUGUAUUCAUGCUUUUUUGUUGUACUAUUGAUUUGUGAGAGUCGGUGGAUAAUUAAAACAAUCAUAUUGACCGUUUCCAAGAAGAACAGAAUGGGAAAUAAAAGUUGUGCCGGGAUCGUAAAGGCAUCCCCUGUGAAAACUACAUUUAGUCUUCUUGUCAUGGUUUGCAAGAAUAGCAACAAAAUAUGUUUGUUUUGUGCAUUAACGUCUCCAGAAGCCCUUGGGAUAUGCCCGUUACCUCGACCGAAAUAUUCCCGCGGACUUCUUCAGACAUUUAUACGCGAAAAAGUGUACUUAUUAAUAGAGAAGCCAAUGUGUUGCGUGUUGCGUGCACGUUGGUACGGCGAAAUAAAUACUUCUUUUUAUCUCUUUCACAUUUUUAUGUGCAGAUUUCCGAUUCUUUAUUUAAUAAUGAAAUUACUUACGUUUGGUCAAUAAAUUCUGUCUUCUUGGUUAUAAUUAUUUUUCUCUCACGUUAAUCUUUAUCUCCUUUUUCGAUUUCUUUUCAAAUCUUAAUUUAUUACUUUUAAACACAUUCAUGUAUUUUCAAUUUUAGUUCAUAGUUAGAAAGUCAUUCUAUACUGUCACAUUUUUAGAGUGGUGUUGAUUUGACUUCACGUGGAACGGGUCAUUUAUUGAUGGUGGCAUAACUCUUGGCCCAAUUCAUUUUUCUGAACCUUACAAGCUUGCAGGUAUCCGUAUUUGGAAGGUA